rnacentral:rRNA from 1 species
GAUGAACGCUGGCGGCGUGCCUAAUACAUGCAAGUCGAGCGAACGGACGAGAAGCUUGCUUUUCUGAUGUUAGCGGCGGACGGGUGAGUAACACGUGGAUAACCUACCUAUAAGACUGGGAUAACUUCGGGAAACCGGAGCUAAUACCGGAUAAUAUUUUGAACCGCAUGGUUCAAAAGUGAAAGACGGUCUUGCUGUCACUUAUAGAUGGAUCCGCGCUGCAUUGGCUAGUUGGUAAGGUAACGGCUUACCAAGGCAACGAUGCAUAGCCGACCUGAGAGGGAGACAGACAACAGGUAAACAGAGCCCCGGAACCAACCCUUACGGGGCGCAGCGAUAGAAAAGCUUCAGAAAUGGGCAAAAGCCGAAGGAGCAAACCCGCGGGGAGUGAAAUGGGCUUUCGGUUCGUAAAACUUUUUAAUAGGGGAAAAAAUGAUGUGUAAGAAAUUGGCACAAUUUGGCGGUUACCAAAGAAAAAACCCACGCUAAACUGCUC